GAUGAACGCUGACGGCAUGCUUAACACAUGCAAGUCGACGUGGCUGCCGGGUGCGUAACGCGUAAAGGACUUGCCUCACAGAUGGGGACUACAUUUGGGAACGAAUGCUAAUCCCUGAUACUGUGAGAGGGCUUUGCGUCCCAUUAGCUAGUUGGAGAGGUAACGGCUCUCCAAGGCGAUGAUGGGUAGCCGGCCUGAGACGGGGAUCGGCCACAAGGUGACGGGGACGCCGCCCGUACGCAGACGUGAGGAAGGAGUGGGGAAUAGUGGACAACGUACCAAAGUCUGAAGAAGGAAUUCUGGGUGCAAGAUGAAGUUUUCGGAAGGAAAAGGGCUUUCAGUUUGGAAGCAGUACCAACAGAAGAAGCGACGGCUAAAUACGUGCCAGCAGCCGCGGUAAUAC
rnacentral:rRNA from 1 species